rnacentral:rRNA from 1 species
GUGCCAGCCGCCGCGGUAAUACGUAUGGGGCAAGCGUUGUUCGGAGUUAUUGGGCGUAAAGGGCGUGUAGGCGGCUCAUCAAGUCUGGUGUGAAAUCGACAGGCUUAACCUGUCAUAUGCGCUGGAAACUGGUGGGCUUGAGUUCUUGAGGGGAAGCUGGAAUUCCAGGUGUAGGGGUGAAAUCUGUAGAUAUCUGGAAGAACACCGGUGGCGAAGGCGAGCUUCUAUCAGAGGACUGACGCUGAGGCGCGAAAGCGUGGGGAGCAAACAGGAUUAGAUACCCUGGUAGUCCACGCUGUAAACGAUGUGCACUAGGCGUGGGGCACGUACGUGUUCUGUGCCGUAGUUAACGUGUUAAGUGCACCGCCUGGGGAGUAUGCUCGCAAGGGUGAA